rnacentral:lncRNA from 1 species
UUGUUGUUGUUGUUGUUAUUAUUGUUGUUAUUGUUGUUAUUGUUGUGGUUCUUCUUCUUCUUCUUCUUCUUCUUCUUCUUCUUCUUGUUAUUGUUUUUGUUUUUGUUGUUUUUCUUGUUGUUAUUCUUAUUGUAGUUCUUGUUUCUGGUUCUUGUUGUUCUUGUUGUGGUUCUAUUGCUAUAUUUUAUUUUAUUUUAUUAAAAGACAUACAACAAAAGUUGUUUAAAGUAAUAGUUGUGAUAGGUUAAGACAUACAAUAAUGGUUGUUUAAAGUAAUUGUUAUGGAAGGUAGUGUACU